UCGCGUUGUUCCCUCGCUCCUCCGUCUCGAAAUCCAAGGCGACCGCCGGUCUCCCCCCAAAUCGGAACCCUUGCUCUUCAAUCCCAGUCUCCGUCUAUAAUCCCUUCGUCUCACAAUCCCUAAUCCUCCCAAAAACCCCAAUCUCCUUCUCAGGUGAAAAAACGUAGGCCAAGUCGGAAUGGGUCCAGCGGAAAUCCGCGAUCUUCGCUCGCUGUCGUGAGGCGGUCUUCCUCUCCUAUUCUGGUGACCUCGCUUUCGAACCAUAGACGAAAACUUGCAACUUUAGGAGUCGAUUGGAUUGACGUUCUUUCCAAUGGAUCUAAGUCGAUUGGGUGCUCCAAAUUAAUUGUUGGAUUUGUGGGUUUUUGUGUUCAAAAUGUAGGAAAUGAUUCCAAAGUAGAUUGACAUUUGUUUUUGUGAAAAAUAGAGCCAAACAAACGCCCUCUGCGUUUUCUUGGGCACUUCUUUUAUUUUCUUUAUAGUUUCUUGAUCUGUAUGAGAACUAAGUGGAGAGGAUAACUGUUGUUUGAAAAUUUAGAGAAUCUUUAAUCUAUAGGGCACGUGAAUAAUUGGCAUUGUCUUUGUGGAGAUGGAACUUCAAGCGGAGGGCUGAUUGAAGCUCUUCUUAUUGCCAUCAAAUCAUCUGGGAAAAGAAGGAAAUUUAGAACCCUCAUCGGGAGCAAUAAUGGUCAGAUACUUCUUAUCCUUCUGAUUGUUUUUCUCCUUUUUUUUUUUUUCUUUUUAAUUUUCUAAUAUGAAAACUAAAGCUUCAGAAGCAAUUUAGGCUAGCCAUUCUAUUCUGUACCGUCCCCUUAACUUAGAGUUUUCUUUCAUCUUACUUUUCUCUCAAAUGUUGGAUCCCCUUAACUUGCCCCUCCUUCGAUUCAGUCAUGCUUAUAAGUAGCAUUUUCUUCUGCAUGAAUUAUGACUGUUGAGAUGAGAUUCUCUGAUGUAAUAUAGCAGUUGUGCAAUUGAGUCUCUAGGUUCGGUUUUGGGUUUAUAUUGAUAUGAAUCUCAAUGCCUUCUGAUUCAAAAUUUUAACUUCAUUUUCUUCAGCUUUUACUUUUUUUUCUAAUGAGUCGUUGUUCUUGUAUGAAUGAAUAUGAAGAUGUUAUUUGUCAAUUUAUAGUCCCAUCAUUUACAAUCUAAUCGCUUCAAUCUUGGUUUUUGGGUUUAUAUGGACAUGAAAACUCAUUAGCAAUGAAUUCAGAAGUUCAGCUUGAACGUAAUUAGUGUAUUGUUUGCAUUGUCAAAUUUAAAGUUUUUUUAAAAAAAAAAAAUACAGCUAUGGUAAAUAUUAAUGAAUUUGAUGAUAUGAUUGAUGUAUUUUGGAAAAACCAUGUAUAGAUGACAUACUGUGGCUCCAUGGACAUGGGAUGCACAAGAUGAAACAUGUGGGAUUUGUGGAAUGAUAUUUGAUGGAUGCUGCCCUGAUUGUAAAUUCCCAGGUGACGGCUGCCCAUUAAGUUCACUUAGCAACUUUUGUUUUUGUUUACUGCAAAUGCUUGGUAAUUAAUGUUCACUUUUAUUUGUUAAGUUAUUGAUGGUUUUAUAGCCAUACUUAAGC